CCUGUGAGGAAAGACGUCAAAAGGCUAUUGAGGCAAGACGUCAGCGACUCUCUGCAUGUGAGGAACCCUCAGAUGGGGUGUUCAUCAAAUUUAAAUAUCCAAAUGGACACAUCAAUAUGAGGAAAUUCAGCUUGUUGGAGCCAAUCCAUGUGAAAUGUGUUCAGCUUAAGGAAAAAUAUCAGGUGUCUUCUCAGUGGGUUGGAACACUUGACUAACACUGUUUCACAUCUUUUAAGAUCUUGUUUGACUUUGUGGGACAAGAUGAUAUUGCCAGUGAAAUCUUUGUGGUGCAAGAAGCCACAUCACCAAGAUCAAUUGAGAGCACUUCCUCCGGGUCAAUAAUGGAUCAUGGCAUAAAAGCAACCUCAACUUUAUAUGUACUUUGGUUUUCAAAUCAUGAUGUACAGGAAAUUCUGUCGGAUCAACAAAAUGAUGGAGCUUAUGCCCUACGCCAUACAUCUCAUGGUCAGUCAUCGCUGUGUGAGACCUCCUCCCAGCCAAGUCUCUCUGUGCCCUUUCUCCAGCCACUGCUGUGUGAGACCUCCUCCCAGCCAAGUCUCUCUGUGCCCUCUCUCCAGCCACUGCUGUGUGAGACCUCCUCCCAGCCAAGUCUCUCUGUGCCCUCUCUUCAGCCACUGCUGUGUGAGACCUCCUCCCAGCCACUGCUCACUCUGU